UGGGGAAUAUUGCACAAUGGGCGCAAGCCUGAUGCAGCCAUGCCGCGUGUGUGAAGAAGGCCUUCGGGUUGUAAAGCAGCUUUCAGCGAGGAGGAAGGUGGUGAGCUUAAUACGCUCAUCAAUUGACGUUACUCGCAGAAGAAGCACCGGCUAACUCCGUGCCAGCAGCCGCGGUAAUACGGAGGGUGCAAGCGUUAAUCGGAAUUACUGGGCGUAAAGCGCACGCAGGCGGUUUGUUAAGUCAGNUGUGAAAAUCCCCGGGCUCAACCUGGGAACUGCAUUUGAAACUGGCAAGCUAGAGUCUCGUAGAGGGGGGUAGAAUUCCAGGUGUAGCGGUGAAAUGCGUAGAGAUCUGGAGGAAUACCGGUGGCGAAGGCGGCCCCCUGGACGAAGACUGACGCUCAGGUGCGAAAGCGUGGGGCAGCAAACA
rnacentral:rRNA from 1 species